UAACCUUACUGCAUUAUUACAGUACAUAAGCAGUUUGGCCAUGGGAGAAAUGUUGCUUUAUGAAGAAUUAUCAGGGAAUUUGUAGGUUUUGGAAGUUAUCAAUAACAAUUGCUUAUAGAAUAUUUAUGAUAAAACUGUAAAGUCUUUACUGACAAGCUAUAUAUACACAAUCUGUAUCUGUUUAGGGCCUGAGGGCAAAGCCAUUUACUUAUAUUCUUUAUCCCUUCACCACCCUGCUUGAUAUUUCUUAUAUAGUAAACACUUGCAUAUUAUGGCAUCCCAGGAGGCUAACGGGUACAUAGCGGUGUUAAAUCAAUGCUUUCUAAUGAGAGAUUAAAGAAAAUAGGCCAUGAAAAUAUAAUGACUAGGAGUAUAGGCCUGAGCUGGGGGGGGGUGGGGGGAAGGGCUGGAGAGAUGGCUCAUUGGUUAAAAGCACUUGCUAUUCUCUGAGAAGAAUGGAGUUAGGGGUUUGAACAUUGGAUGCCUAUAACUCUAGCUCCAUGGGAUUUGAUAUCCUCUGAAUGAACAUGGGCACACACACACACACACACACACACACACACACACACACAAACACACACACACAGAGACUUGGUUCUUCAGCUCUUAAGCGGUUGGGCGGAUUGAAGACCUCUCCUUGAGUAUCAGCCUUCACUGCUGCUGUGAUCAUCGCCAUCCUCAUCACUCUCCUCAGAACCUACGUGCGACCUGAUGACAGUCUCUGUAUCCUGUUCCUUUCUCCUAUGCUUGGCCUCACUUUGUUAAAGGGAAUGUAAGCUUUUCUCAGCAGUAACUUGGACCAUUUAUAGGUUUAAAGUGUUGGGAAGAGAGGGAGCAAGAUCAAGUAUCAGUACAAACACAGCUGGGGGCUCUGCUGGCUGGACCACUGCCAGCAUGUUGGAGUCUCACACGCAUCAACCAUUUUGGCAGUUUUGUAGGGCCAGUUCUGAGCAUAAAUUAUACUUGGAAGAAAAUGGAAACUCAGACUUAAGUUAGACUUGAAAGCUAACGUUCUCGCAUCAGAUGAGAAAUGUACAAUGGAUGACCUUCUGGGCCUCACAACUCCUCUGUACAAGUGAAACCUUUCACUUGAUAGGCUGUAGACUAGUGAGUUAAAUUCAAACUCGUUAAUGGUAGAAGUAUGUUAAAACCAGUUUUAUAUUUGUGUGGGAAGGUGUUCUUGUUAUUCAUUCUUAGGAUAAGAAACAAUAGUUCCACAUUUCUGAAAAUCAGGUUAUAAACUAAUGUACCAAAAGGCUCAAGUUUUUGUUUUAAAAGAAAACCGUAUGGCAUUACUAGAUUUGACUGCUGCAAAGGUAUUUUUAAAGAUCAGCAUAGGUACAUACUAAGUCUUAAAAUGGUAAACAUUAAAUGUAAUACAAAAUGAAAAUAUAUAUUGGAUUUUCUUCUAUAUUGGAAUAUGUAUUUCUCAAAUAAGAGAUUAUGUUCAUGACAUUUUAAUAUAAAAUAUAUUUAAGUCCAGAAAUAUAUUUUGCCAGUUUACCUUUUAUCCAAGUAGCUGAAAUUGCUAGAAGUCAGUCAGGGGAGGAAGAAAACAUGGAAGAGGAGAACAACAAGACAUGCUGCCUGGCUCUCCCUUUCUCCAAAUCAGUCCAUUCUCAAACGCCAAUUAAAUCAGUAUGUUCUUUUCAACUAUUCUUAUCAUGUAGCUCAUGAAACAUAGAGUUUUUAAACCAAAAUAUCUACAGAAAUUAGUUUUUAUGGUGUAAACACAUCAUUGUAAAAUAUACCUGGUGAUGUACUUCAGAGAAAUUAACUUUUAUAGAAAACUCUAGGUUUUAAAUUUUGUAGUGAAUGAAAUACUUGACAGAAUUAUCUAGGGUAUAAUACUUGACACUCACACUUGUGUGGAGUGGAGGUCAGGGCCCGUGCUGUCCUGUGGCUGUGGAGUGGAGGUCAGGGCCUGUGCUGUCCUGUGGCUGUGGAGUGGAGGUCAGGGCCUGUGCUGUCCUGUGGCUGUGGAGUGGAGGUCAGGGCCUGUGCUGUCCUGUGGCUGUGGAGUGGAGGUCAGGGCCUAUGCUCGCCUGUGGGUGAUUUCCAUCUCUCGUGUGAGACCCGGAAGCUUACAUUUGAGCUGUUUCCAGUCUCCCUUGCCCCUUUAAUUUUGACAUGGAAUCUUGCUGUGUGGCCCAGGCUGUCCUGGAGUUCCUAGCCGUAUAACCCUCUUGCCUCAGCCUCCCUAAGCAGAUGUGUCUAUAAGCAUGUGCCCCUGUUACUGGCUUUAGGGUAGCAUCUUUUAAUUAGUAACUAUUUAAAAAAAUACAUAUCAAUAUAUGUUUAUGAAGUGAACUGUAGAUAUUGUUGAACAUUCCUUUUUGUGAAUUUUUUAGUACAAUUCCCUGCUGCCACCUCCACUUCGAAUAGUUUCUGUAGUAGUUCCCAUUUCAGAUUAGAAAUAAGAAAAAGAAAAUUGAGUUGUGCUGUAAACUAGCUUCUCAUUUAAUGGGAGACAUUAAUUUGGUUUUAUAGCCAAAACAUAAUUUUGUAGUCAUGAAUAUUAAGGAAAAUAACGUCUGUUUUUUAAGCUCUUUUACUGAUCAAACCUUAAUGGAGGACUGGGAAUGUGGCUCAAGUACGGUAUGACCUGGUGUGUGGAGAGCCGGGGUUCAGUGCUCACACAGCAGAACGGUGGCCUGAUGGAGCCUGAGCCUGCUGGCACGCGCUUGCAAACCCGGCAUUUGGGAGGUGAGGUAGAGGGAGUUUGAAGUCAGCCUUGGAGUCAUAACAAGCACAAGGCCAGCCUGAGCUUCAUAGUAAGACUCCAGGGCAGGUCUCAGGACCACUCACUGCUAGAGUCUUGCCCAGAAUGUAGAAGACCUAGGGUUCUGAUCUCUAAUGCCAUGGAGGGUCGGGGAGGGCAACAAUGAAAUCUAGGUAUUUGAUAAGAUAACUUG
rnacentral:lncRNA from 1 species